rnacentral:rRNA from 3 species
AACCCAGUGUGACUCGUCACACUAUCAUUAACUGAAUCCAUAGGUUAAUGAGGCGAACCGGGGGAACUGAAACAUCUAAGUACCCCGAGGAAAAGAAAUCAACCGAGAUUCCCCCAGUAGCGGCGAGCGAACGGGGAGGAGCCCAGAGCCUGAAUCAGCAUGUGUGUUAGUGGAAGCGUCUGGAAAGGCGCGCGAUACAGGGUGACAGCCCCGUACACAAAAGCGCAUGUGCUGUGAGCUCGAUGAGUAGGGCGGGACACGUGGUAUCCUGUCUGAAUAUGGGGGGACCAUCCUCCAAGGCUAAAUACUCCUGACUGACCGAUAGUGAACCAGUACCGUGAGGGAAAGGCGAAAAGAACCCCGGCGAGGGGAGUGAAAAAGAACCUGAAACCGUGUACGUACAAGCAGUGGGAGCCCCACCACCAAAGCAUUUGCUGUACCGCGUUGACGGAGCGAAGCGACGUCAAACCGAUAAAACAGCAGUGUAAAGUGAGCCGCAGGGCGCUUUGCGCGACAGCGCAAAGGCAGGCGGUUUCGCGUAGCGAAAGCGAAUGCUUUGGGGUGGGGUGACUGCGUACCUUUUGUAUAAUGGGUCAGCGACUUAUAUUCUGUAGCAAGGUUAACCGAAUAGGGGAGCCGGAGGGAAACCGAGUCUUAAUUGGGCGUUAAGUUGCAGGGUAUAGACCCGAAACCCGGUGAUCUAGCCAUGGGCAGGUUGAAGGUUGGGUAACACUAACUGGAGGACCGAACCGACUAAUGUUGAAAAAUUAGCGGAUGACCUGUGGCUGGGGGUGAAAGGCCAAUCAAACCGGGAGAUAGCUGGUUCUCCCCGAAAGCUAUUUAGGUAGCGCCUCGUGAAUUCAUCUCCGGGGGUAGAGCACUGUUUCGGCUAGGGGGCCAUCCCGGCUUACCAACCCGAUGCAAACUGCGAAUACCGGAGAAUGUUAUCACGGGAGACACACGGCGGGUGCUAACGUCCGUCGUGAAGAGGGAAACAACCCAGACCGCCAGCUAAGGUCCCAAAGUCAUGGUUAAGUGGGAAACGAUGUGGGAAGGCCCAGACAGCCAGGAUGUUGGCUUAGAAGCAGCCAUCAUUUAAAGAAAGCGUAAUAGCUCACUGGUCGAGUCGGCCUGCGCGGAAGAUGUAACGGGGCUAAACCAUGCACCGAAGCUGCGGCAGCGACACUGUGUGUUGUUGGGUAGGGGAGCGUUCUGUAAGCCUGUGAAGGUGUGUCGUGAGGCAUGCUGGAGGUAUCAGAAGUGCGAAUGCUGACAUAAGUAACGAUAAAGCGGGUGAAAAGCCCGCUCGCCGGAAGACCAAGGGUUCCUGUCCAACGUUAAUCGGGGCAGGGUGAGUCGACCCCUAAGGCGAGGCCGAAAGGCGUAGUCGAUGGGAAACGGGUUAAUAUUCCCGUACUUGGUGUUACUGCGAAGGGGGGACGGAGAAGGCUAUGUUGGCCGGGCGACGGUUGUCCCGGUUUAAGCGUGUAGGUGUGUGUUCCAGGUAAAUCCGGUUCACUUUAACACUGAGGCGUGACGACGAGGCACUACGGUGCUGAAGCAACAAAUGCCCUGCUUCCAGGAAAAGCCUCUAAGCAUCAGGUAACAUCAAAUCGUACCCCAAACCGACACAGGUGGUCAGGUAGAGAAUACCAAGGCGCUUGAGAGAACUCGGGUGAAGGAACUAGGCAAAAUGGUGCCGUAACUUCGGGAGAAGGCACGCUGACACGUAGGUGAAGUGAUUUACUCAUGGAGCUGAAGUCAGUCGAAGAUACCAGCUGGCUGCAACUGUUUAUUAAAAACACAGCACUGUGCAAACACGAAAGUGGACGUAUACGGUGUGACGCCUGCCCGGUGCCGGAAGGUUAAUUGAUGGGGUCAGCGCAAGCGAAGCUCCUGAUCGAAGCCCCGGUAAACGGCGGCCGUAACUAUAACGGUCCUAAGGUAGCGAAAUUCCUUGUCGGGUAAGUUCCGACCUGCACGAAUGGCGUAAUGAUGGCCAGGCUGUCUCCACCCGAGACUCAGUGAAAUUGAACUCGCUGUGAAGAUGCAGUGUACCCGCGGCAAGACGGAAAGACCCCGUGAACCUUUACUAUAGCUUGACACUGAACAUUGAGCCUUGAUGUGUAGGAUAGGUGGGAGGCUUUGAAGUGUGGACGCCAGUCUGCAUGGAGCCGACCUUGAAAUACCACCCUUUAAUGUUUGAUGUUCUAACGUGGACCCGUUACCCGGGUUGCGGACAGUGUCUGGUGGGUAGUUUGACUGGGGCGGUCUCCUCC